rnacentral:rRNA from 1 species
GACGAACCGUGCGAACGUUGUUCGGAUUCACUGGGCGUAAAGGGUGCGCAGGCGGCCAAGUGUGUGAGGCGUGAAAGCCCGGGGCUUAACCCCGGAAGUUGCACCUCAAACCUACAUGGCUAGAGCAUUGGAGAGGGUAGCAGAAUUCAUGGUGUAGCAGUGAAAUGCGUAGAUAUCAUGAGGAAUACCAGAGGCGAAGGCGGCUACCUGGACAAUUGCUGACGCUCAGGCACGAAAGCGUGGGGAGCAAAAGGG